GACUCGACCGGCCGCUGGGCGACGGGCGCUUCGAGUGGCGUGGCCUGUCCUUCCCGACCCGGUUCACGCCCAGCCGCUGGGAGGUGCUGGCGCA
rnacentral:sRNA from 1 species